rnacentral:lncRNA from 1 species
ACCCAAUAGCCGAAGAAUCCCUAUCCAGGUUUAGCAAUUUUCUUGAGACUCAGGUAGCAACCAAUAGGAUAUCCAGGGAAAUGGAACAGACAGUUCUUGACAUUGUGUCAACCGCUUUGGUCGAUAGUUUGCGGGAAUACUCGGGAUCGGCCUACAGUGACCACAGUUUUCCGUAUACUAACUCUAUGGUUAAUCAACAGAAGGAAAUGAAAUACAACUUCAAAGCAGAAAAUCCUGCUGAGAUAAUGAAAAACCGUUCACAAUUAGCCGGAAAGGCUACCUCGGGCAAAGUUCCAAUCCAAAGCCAAGAGGAAACUAACAAGAAUACUGAUACACGUUAAAGUUUUUGCUCCUAAUGAUGGAACAACUAUAAUGCAAUGAAGUAAGAAAAACAGGAAAACAUGGUCACAAUAUAUUUUCUGUCGUUUGAGAUAUUUUUUAUUACUUUCAUUGUUAUUCUGUAUUCCUGAUAACCCGUGUAACUUAUCUAUAAACAAUGUAUUAAGUUUUCGACUGUAAAUUUCCUAUACACUUUUAUGUCUUAUCAAUUUGUGUUAUAUCCUAUUUGUUAAUCUAUACAGUAAUAUAAGGGUAUUUUUGUUGGAAUAUAGAAAUAUCUUAAAACAUAUAUUUUGUGCAACUACGUCAUUGUACAUCAAAUGUAUUAGUUUGUGUAAGGAACCAAAAAGAGUAUCCUAUUACAAAAUGCAAAAAAUAUAAAUGUACUUUAUUCUAAUUUAUUGUAUUAAGUUGUUUUCAAAUCUUUAUUUUUAUUAACAUUUUUUGUCAAGCUGAAAAAACUCUUAAAGGUACGAUUUUUGUAAAUAAAACGAUCUUUUGUAUCUCAUUUUGUGCCAUAUGUUAAUAACUAUAAAUGGAUGGCCCUUCACAUCUCUAUAUAAUACAAAAUAGCAAAUUGUAUGUAAAUUUUUCCAGUAAUAUAGGAAAUGUAAUUCAAGUUAUAUGUUUGUUUUGGGUAGUUUUCAACUUAAUAAAGAGAGCUGAUUAUGAUGGUCCAUAUAUAUAAUUAUGUUAGCUACUUUUUAAAAAUUAAUUUGAUUAGCCGAUAAGAGCCCUAAAUUAUGUUACAGUUGCAAAGUAAAAGUCUAUUUGUUAUGAAUAAUAACAUUUACUAAAUAAAUUGUACUACUUAAAUUAAAGAAAUACUGAGACAAGGAUGAAAUUGCUAAAAUGGUAGCUUAAUUUUAUAACCACAAAGUUUAAUAACGGUAGAUAUGACAAAAUGUAACCUUAAACAAAAUGCCAGUCUUUUAACUUUAAAUUACGAAAUUUCCAAUAUCAAGGAUCUUAGUUGCUUGAUAUUUUUAGGCCUAUAUCAUUGAAUUGUAAAAAUAAUUAACGAAUUCAAGAUUUAGUUUUUUAUAAAAUUUAAAGCAGAAAGUCUAAAUUUGUGAUUGAUAAUAUUGUAAGAAAUUAUAUAAAGUGUUUAUAUUUACAAUAUUUUUCUAAUUUUAUUUCUGAACUUUAAGCUUUUCCAUUUUCCCCAUAUAUUAUGCAUCAUGUAAAUUUUAUUAUAAGGGGGGGAGGGAUAUUGAAAUAACAACUGUUGUCCCCAAUUCUUUAAUCUCUACGUCUUCUAAAUAUUUACACUUUUCGGGAAAGGAAUAACAGGUUUUAGCGAUGUAAAGUUAAUCUAAAGCUCAUACUGUUUUUGUGUGCUUUAAUACUCUUAUAGAUAAUUCUUGAGAAACCUAUAACUUUACAAGUUACAAAUAUCACUUCCUUUCAUCAUUAGAAUGAAAGACAAGUGGCUAUAAAUAAAAUUUUCUUCAGUUUUUCUCGGUCGUUAGGUAUUUUUUCAAAUCAACACGUGUUUCCCAAACUUGAAAAUAGAGGAAAAGUUAAAGAAUAAAAUAUGAUAUUUGUAUCUGUAUUUCUCUGAUCCAGAAUUUGAGAUGUCUAGAUGCACUGUACAAGGUAAGGCUUACGAUAGGAAUCUCUAUUUUUCAGUAUAUUUCAGCCACUGAAAAAAAAAGUAACUGGCUCAUGAAGGCAUGUUAUGUACAAUGUUAGCUACAGAACUAUAUUUAAAUUGAUUAAUUUCUGUUUAACUCUUUCUUUAUCUCUAAAAUUUUAUAGUAUUAUAUCAACCUUUCAUAGAUGCUAAAUAUUUUUCAAAAUAUCCUAGGUGUUAUUAUUAUUACCAAUAAUUUUGAUUAAGAAAUUAAUAUGUUUAUUGGAGCAAUUGAGAAACUAUUCACAAAGUGUUAAGCAUAGUUCUUAAAAGUUGACAUUCUGAUAAGGCAACAUUAAUCUUACAAACAGUAUUGUAAAUCUUCAAUAGUAGAAAUUAGUUAUGAAGUUAGUGUUAACAUAAAAGUAUACUUAUAGAAAAACAAAACAAUUAACGUAAAAACUACAUCCAUGUGUUCUUAUAAAGUAUAUAGUUACAUAUCAUUUAAGGAUUAUGGUGCACAAAUAUGUAAUGUGAAAAUAUUCGAAUAAAUCUUGAUGUUUUCGCUUGUA